rnacentral:rRNA from 1 species
UAGGGAAUCUUCGGCAAUGGACGAAAGUCUGACCGAGCAAUGCCGCGUGAGUGAAGAAGGUUUUCGGAUCGUAAAACUCUGUUGGUAGAGAAGAACGUUGGUGAGAGUGGAAAGCUCAUCAAGUGACGGUAACUACCCAGGAAGGGACGGCUAACUACGUCGCC